AUUGAACGCUGGCGGCAGGCCUAACACAUGCAAGUCGAACGAGCGGCGGACGGGGGAGAAAUGUGUGGGGAUCUGCCCGAUAGAGGGGGAUAACUACUGGAAACGGUAGCUCAUACCGCAUACUAUCGGAUGUGCCCAUAUGGGGUUAGAUAGUAGGUGAGGUAAUGGCGCACCUAGGCGACGAUCCCUAGCUGGUCUGAGAGGAUGAGCAGCCACACUGGGACUGAGACACGGUCCAGACUCCUACGGGAGGCAGCAGUGGGGAAUAUUGCACAAUGGGCGCAAGCCUGAUGCAGCCAGGCCGCGUGUAUGAAGAAGGCCUUAGGGUUGUAAAGUACUUUCAGCGGGGAGGCGUUACCCGCAGAAGAAGCACCGGCUAACUCCGUGCCAGCAGCCGCGGUAAUAC
rnacentral:rRNA from 1 species